rnacentral:rRNA from 1 species
CCUGGUUGAUUCUGCCAGUAGUCAUAUGCUUGUUUAAAAGAUUAAGCCAUGCAUGUCUAAGUAUAAGCACUCCUUUUACUGUAAAACUGCGGACGGCUCAUUAAAUCAGUUAUAAUUUACAUGAUCAUAAUACACCUACACGGAUAACCGUGGGAAUUCUAGAGCUAAUACAUGAUUCAUAAUUCAGGACCUUCUUUUGAAGGAAAUGAUGAAUUUAUUAGAUUAACCAACGCGGAGUAUUCAAACUGUGCAGAACUUGUGUCUGUAUGGGCUCCGGUCUCUUUUGAGAUACUUUUGGUGAUUCAAAAUAACUUAUCGAAUCGCAGAGGCAUUUUAUGCCGGCGAUGAUACAUACAAAUUUCUGCUCAAUUAACUGUCGAUGGUAGUGUAGUGGACUACCAUGGUGAUAAUUGAUAACGGGGGAUUAGGGUUCGAUUCCGGAGAGGUAGCCUGAGAAAUGGCUACCACUUCCAAGGAAGGCAGCAGCGCGCAAAUUACCCAAUGCUAACUCAGCGAGGUAGUGACAAGAAAUACCAAUACAAUGCCAAUGGUGUUGUGUUUGGAAUGAGAGUAAUCUAAACAUUUACUCGAGGAACAAUUGGAGGGCAAGUCUGGUGCCAGCAGCCGCGGUAAUUCCAGCUCCAAUAGUGUAUAUUAAAGUUGUUGCAGUUAAAAAGCUCGUAGUUGGAUAUCGGUAACCGUCAGGCAUGUCUACACUCUGUGUGUACGUACACAAAUGCAGUACCUUCUUUCUGGUAGUAAUUUUAUAUUGCUCCAGAUAUUUUACUUUGAGAAAAUUAGAGUGUUCAAAGCAGGCGUAACAUUGCCUUUGAAUAUAUUAGCAUGGGAUAAUGAAAUAAGACUUUUGCCUUAUUCUCGUUGGUUCUUUUAGGCUUAAGUAAUGAUUAACAGGGACAGUUGGGGUUAUCUGUAUUUGAUCGCCAGAGGUGAAAUUCUAAGACUGAUCAAAGACAAACUACUGCGAAAGCAUUUAACAAGGAUGUUUUCAUUAAUCAAGAACGAAAGUUGGGGGAUCGAAGACGAUCAGAUACCGUCGUAGUCCCAACCAUAAACUAUGUAGACCAAGGAUUCGAAAUCGUUACAUGAAUGACCUCUCGGGCACUUAUAGAGAAAUCAUAAGCAUUUGGAUUCCGGGGGGAGUAUGGUCGCAAGGCUGAAACUUAAAGAAAGUGACGGAAGGGCACCACAAGGAGUGGAAUAUGCGGUUUAAUUUGACCCAACACGGGAAAACUUACCAGGUCCAGACACAAGGAGGAUUGACAGAUUGAGAGCUCUUUCUUAAUUUUGUGGGUGGUGGUGCAUGGCCGUUUCUAGUUGGUGGAGUGAUUUGUCUGGUUAAUUCCGUUAACGAACGAGACCUUAACCUAUUAAAUAGUGACAUCUACUUGGAUAAUUUACUUCCAAUAGUAGAUGGUUUACUUCUUAGAGGUACUCUUCACGUAAAGAGUGAAUGGAAGUUUGAGGCAAAAACAGGUCUGUGAUGCCCU